CAGGUUAAGCUUAAAGUUAAGGUUUUCAUUUACACUGAAAGUUACUGUUGUGCGAUUCAAUAUAACCUGA
rnacentral:tRNA from 1 species